GUUGAACGCUGGCGGCGUGCCUAAUACAUGCAAGUCGAGCGAACAGACGAUGAUCUUUCUCCUCUUACGUUAGCGUCUGUCGGGUGAGUCACACGUGUAUAACCUUCCUUUUUUUCUUGGAUCACUUCGUGAACCCUCAUCUACUACCCGCUCAUAUUUUGUACCUCUUUGUUCAUUAGUUCUUUUCGUUUUUUCUGUCUCUUAUAGAUUGUUCCGCGCUGGAUUAGCUAGUUGGUAAGGUAACGGCUUACCAAGUCUACGAUGCGUAUCCGACCUGAGAGGGUGAUCAGACACACGGGAACUGAGACACGGACCAGAAUACUACGGGAGGCAGCAGUAGGGAAUAUUGGGAAAUGGGCGAAAGCAUGAAGGAGCAAAGCCGCGUGAGUGAAGAAGGACUUCGGAUCGUAAAAAACUGUUAUUAGGGAAGAAAAAAAGGGGAAGAAAAAAUGGACGUAAUGACGGUAACAAAAGAGAAAGCAACGGCUAACUACGUG
rnacentral:rRNA from 1 species